CGGUUAUAGCAUAUGUGUGACAUUAAGGAGAUUAUGGUUAAUCUUUUGUACCAAGCAGAAUAUUGCUACAUUGGAAAUUAAAAUUUAAAAAAAAUUGCUCACUUAACUAUACAUAUUUGUUCAGCAUAUCUUCCUGUUUUUAAAUAUGGAGUCAUGUCACCUGGUUAUAGCAUAUGUUACGUUAAGGACGUUAUGGUUCACCUUUAGUACCAUGCUGAAUAUUACUACGUUAAAAAUUAAAAUUUUAAAAAAAUUAACUGUACAUAUUUGUUCAGAUCAACUUCUUUUAUUAAAAUUUGGAGUCAUGUCAUCCGGUUAUGACAUGUGUGACAUUAAGGACGUUAUAGUUAAUCUUUUAUACCAAGCAGAAUAUUACUUCAUUGGAAAUUAAAUUUUAAAAAAAUCAAAAUUUCAUAUCGCUCACUUAACGAUACAUAUUUGUUCAGAUAAUCUUCUUUUAUUAAAAUAUUGAGUCAUGUCACCCGGUUAUAACAUAUGUGUGACUAUAAGGACACUAUGGUUCAUCUUUUGUAACAAGAUAAAUAUUGCUAAUAAGAAAUUAAAAUAAAAAAAAUUAUAUCACUCACAUAACUAUACAUCCUUUUUCAGAUAAUCUUUAAUUAAAAUCUGGAGUCAUGUCACCCGAUUAUAGCAUAUGUGUGACAUUAAGGAUGUUAUGGUUAACCUUUUGUAUCAAUCAGAAUACUGUUAUGUUGGAAAUUAAAAAAUAUUCAUAUUGCUCACUUAUCUAUACAUAUUUGUUCAGAUAAUCCUGUAUUUAAAUCUGGAGUCAUGUCACCCGAUGACAUUUGUGUGACAUUAAGGACAUUAUUGUUAAUCUUUUGUACCAAGCGAAAUAUUGCUACAUUGGUAAUUAAAAUUUAAAAAAAAAAAAAAAAAACAUUUAGCUCACUAACUAUACAUAUUUAUUCGUAGUGUUCUUUUAUUUAAAUCUGGAGAAUUUCAAAUCUUAAUAUUUAAUAUUUUUUUUUUUGGAUUGUAAAUACAUUUUGAUGUACCAUAGAUGGUUGUGCCCUUCUUGCACUGAAUCGCAUGAUAAUUUUCGUGCGGUUUUAUUGCGUGGUACUAUAAUUAUGGUACGUUUUUCAUAACGAAUCUGAGAUUCGAAUCUAACUUCACCUCAGUUGCAAACCACAGCAAACGUCUUCACACUGUAUUAACCAUUUUUUGCACAGGUUCUUUACACACUCGAGCUCUAACUACCGCCACCAUGAAGUUGUUAUUACCUGGAGCUGUUUUCUCUGGACCUGUUUUCUCUGGACCUUUUGUCUCCGGACCUGUUGCAGGCGUUUGCGGUGAAAUUUCGCUACGAUUUUUAUCACAAAUUGGUGCCAUUGAACACAAUAACACGAUCGCGCCCGCACACGCAAAUUACACUUAUUACUGCCGCCAGAACAUCCUGAUAUGCAGCCUCACUUGACGGGAGAAACGUUCGAUUUCCCAUUAUUCUCAGCGUGAGGCGCUUCAUCAAAUGCGCCGGAAACGCUCAGCCAAUCACGAAGCUCUGUUCGAUAAAUCAAAAAGAAUCUGAAUUUAACUAAGAAAAUUCUCAUAAAAUAAUAAUUUAAACACAAUGUAUAGUGUCAACGUCUCUCAAAAGUCAUUAAAUACGGUUUAAAAACAAGACACAGUUUUUAAAUAAUCAUCCUCCCACGUAAAACUUUCCCGGGUGCGUGACGACGGUCACCCUGGGCCGCUGCCGACGCCUGUGAUCAAAUUUCUCAUUUAAAAAAUCCAAACAAUAAAAAAAAUUAUCUUCGGUCCGGCCCCAACCACAGGCGUGAAAUUAUCUAUUCGUAACUUUAUUUCAUAAUUCUUGUGACUUACCGACGACACGUCUUCACACCGUAACGAUCGCGAGACAACUGCGGGGCCGUCCUACGCCUACUCCAAGGACAAGAGUCUAGCGGCAGCAAUGCUUUCUAUAGGGUAAUUUGCAGACGUCAUUUUAGUUAGUACAACAACCGCAGCAAUCUCUCUUGGCGCUAGCUGCGCUGUAAAUUGUUUUUUGUAUCGUUGUAAUGGUGUCGUUGUGUCUGUCGGUGAAGUGUUUUUUUCGUUUGUAGUUCUGUCAAUAUUUUUGACUUUGACCUUUUAUAAAUUACGACAUAAUGCCGUAUAGAAAUAAUUGUUGUGUGCCUGGAUGCCUGGACAAAACGUCUACGAGACAUCGGAUACCUGUGACAGACACAGCUAGAUUCACUAAAUGGAAACUAGUGAUCCAAAAUUCGAAAUUUGACUAUUUAUCGGACGAAGUAAUAAGAAAGAACUACACAAUAUGUAGUAAUCAUUUUCGGACAGAAUAUUUUAGUCCGGGAACCAAGCGUCUGAAUCCCGAUGCCGUACCUUCACAAAACCUACCAGCUCAAAAUACUCUCGGAAGAAACAUUAGCAAGGAAUCAGCAGUAUCACCUAUACAUGGAAUACAGACAACCUGUAGUCCAUUGUUAUUCAUGAAUGUCUUAGAAUCUGCUUCCACUGAACAGCAUCAUCAACCACCUGAAGAAUCUACUGUAGUAACAGAUACUGGUACAUCACAUGAGGUCGUGCAAAAUAACUGCUUGGAAAGGUCCAUUAUUAAAGAGGAUGAUAAAUACACCUGCCCCAAACGGAGGAAGUUAAAUUUUCAAUGUGGUCGUCGGCCACUGCUUGGAGCUCUGGGUGUCCACAGUUCCGUGAAUUUGACUCCAAAAGCCAAGAAAUUGUAUUUAGAUGCAAGAUAUAAGAUAUUACAGGAGUAUUGCUACUUACCACAAAAAAAACACCUCAUUCAAGAGAAGACUGAAGUCUGCAAGUAAGUUGGCAGAUGAAAAAAUUUUCAAUCAAUUAAAAGUGAUUUCUAUUGCAAAGAGAUUUAUUGCAUCACAACUUGAGAUGUCCAGACACAAACCGAAGGGGAGGAGAUUCACUUUGCAAAAUAAGGUGUUGGCACUGUCUCUCUUUAAACAGGCCCCUAAAGGAUACAAGUUACUGUAGUGUAGUCUCCAUCAAGAAGUGUUCUUACAGGUAUGCUUCGGAAAAUUCCUUUUCAACCAGGCAUAAACAAUGUUGUGUUUGAUCAUCUAAAGAAAUCUGUCCAGAAACUUAAGCCACGAGAUAGAAUUUGUGUUUUGAUGUUCGAUGAGAUGAGUUUAUCACCUAACAUUCAAUGGAAUGAGUCAAGUGAUAUUAGGGUAAAGGCACUCAAGAGUACGCACUUAAGUUGUUUUUAAUUGUAAACUUAAGAUAUUAAGUAUUACACAAAAAGUAAUUAUAAUAAAUGAAACACUAUUACUUAAAGUUUACAAAACACAUAUUAGACAAGCAGCUAUGAAAUCCUUUGCAACUGAAAAACAUAAGUUUUGCAUAAAUUGAAAUUGCGAACUCUUAGAGGACUGGUGUCUUAAGAGUGCGCACAGUGUCCUCCAAGAGUACGCAUCAGCACCCAUCACAUUUAAAGUGUCCAGACCCUUCAUAGCUUGAGCAAUUUUCGUGCCACCACUGUUUACAUUUGCCGCACUGUACCCAAUCCUCUAAAAUCGGUUCUUGAUAGUGUUCAUCGCAACCUGGACAAAAAAACAUUGUCUUCAAUUUCUUCUUCAACUGCAUGUAGGCCUACAGCUGGUACAGCGGGAUUGUCGAACUGUACUGCCUUCUUUACUUGUUUUCUUGUUUGAAUUUUCUUAGACGUCUUGCUUACCAGAAGAGAGUUUUUAAAUGGCGAUGAAGACAUUAUUUCAGACUUCUUACCUGCCACUUUUCGUUUCCUUGAAAUGACACACAUUGGUAGGUGUUAUCAUUGAGGGUGGAACUCGCUGUAGUUCCGCAACGGAAUCGUGUUCUGCCAGAUCAUCAGUUUGAGUGUGGGGUUCAUAAGUUUCAAGAAUUGUUGAAUUUUCUGGUGCGUUUGGGUCUUCUUCAGUGACGUCCAGUUGCUCUUGAGGGUGGUCUGUCACGUCAGCAGGUGCAAAGUCUUCAUCAAUGAAGUUAUCGGGAUUUAAAAAAUGUAUACCUGUUGAUCUAAAAGCAUUUAUUGCCUUUUCCAUCGUUGCUACCCUCGUGUAAGCACAUGUGAAGAUUUUUUCAAUGUCAUGCUGGGUGAUUGCCCUCCCUGGAUGAACCACCAACCACUUUUCUGCUUCUUGAGCAAAGGCUUUCUCUAAAGGCCCAAAGAAACCGACGUCUAGUGGCUGCAGUCUGUGGCUAGCAUGUGGUGGUAGUGACAGCAGUGUUAUGAAGUGUUCUCUGCAGAAAUUUACGGCUUCAAUACUGCAGUGUGAUACGUGGUUAUCCAAUAUCAGUAGCACUGGAUCUUUCUCUGUUGGCUUCACGAAAUCAUAGAAAUGUUUCAGCCACUCUACAAGAAGUUCCGUGUUAUGUACCUACCCAGUAUCAGAAAUCAUAUGCAAUGUUCCUUCUGGUGCAUUUGUGUACAGUUAAGGUUUCAUCGUCUUCCUGGCAAAGAUCAUGGCUGGAGGAACAAACGUACAAGUGGAGCUCAUGCAGCACACGACAGUAACUGUUUGACCUCUUUCAGCUGAAGAAACUUUACAAACUACCUUUUUCCCUUUAGGAGAAAUUACUUUUGGAAUGUGAUUGGGUGCAGUGGAUACCAGACUCGUCCAUAUUGAAUUUUCGAUGAGCCGGAAAAUAUUAUUUUUAGCACAAACACUGGCCAAGUUAUCAAAAAAAUCUCCUGCGCUGAACCCUGUUAAAUCUAAUGGCUCUCCCUAAACUACAUUUCUCCGAAGUACGUAGUGCCAAACCUUGCCUUUUGCAGAAGGCACGAACCUAAUUUUCUAGUAUACUUUUUGGAGGUCAUUUUCGUCAGUGAAAUAAAUUCUGCAAAAAGAAACAGUUGAAUUGUAAAAGUAAUAUUUUGCCAUUCAUAAACGGCCUCCAAGAGUACGCAGUAGACAAUUCGGCCUCUAAGAGAACGCAUUGCUGCGCACUCUUAGAGGCACCCACACAAGUGCAACGUUUGUACAACAGAUAGCAGCAGCCUUCACUUUGGCCACCCGUUACCACGUUAUCGUAAACAAUAGACUCUAAGCUUCGGAUUACCAUAAUAUGAUUCGCGGUACCUCGUUGAUGUAUUACUUACAAAGACUAUUAUACUCUUAUUCAUAUUUACAUCAGGAGAAAGCAAAUGUUAUUCUUACCUCUUACAUACGAAAUAAACCGAUUCUACAAAUUUUCUUAGCGCAGUAAAGCACACACACACAAGCUUCAAGGAACCACCUAUCGACUUCUCUCGCCAGUGCUACCAACUUCUAUAUAUUAAUACUGCGCGCUCUUAGGGACUGCGCACUCUUACCUGCCUUUACCCUAUUAUUGGUCACUAUUUAUCAAUUGUAUAUAAUUAUCAAUAAUGAUCUUAUAGUUAUUUUGAAAUGUUUUGUUUUUUAUUGUUUGUAUGUUCAUGCUAAUUUUUCGCUAAAAGUUGUACAUAUAGGUACUUGAAGUGAUUUUGUUGUUAAGCACCUAAUGCCACAUAACAUGCAGCAUGAAUUUUUUGUAUUGAAUUGUUGUAGAUGUUUGCCAUGUACCGUGCUUUUGAUAUAGGCUAUCAAAGAUGCCAACAUAAAAUACUUUUGACCACUUCAAUGUAAAAAUGUUUUCUACAUUUUUUACAUCUUGCUAUAUUUUUGUGUAUGCAUAUUGCACUAACUUGCACAUGUGAUAAGCAAGUAUAAGAAGUACAAUAUAAUAAUUGCACAUAACGAGUUAUUACUGUUAAGUAACUGAUGUACUGUAAACUAUUUUCUCUUUUUUUGUGUGCAGCAAAUAAAUGACCUUGAAUGUAACACACAUUUUUUUUUUUAAUGUAAUACCCUACCCAAUCAUUUUAACAGUAGUUAUUUUUGUGUGUGCAAGGUGUUCUUAUGUCGCAAGAUAAGGAGUUUUCAGGAAAAUGGUGAUGGUAGAUGAAGGGAAGGAGAGAGGAUAGAGGAUAGAUAAGACAUCCUGCCACAGGGUGGUAGCCCAACUCCAGGUGUACAGAUUAUUAGUAUUAUCUGGGAAUACUUUUCUGUCCUUGUGUAAGAGUGAAACUAGAGGUGCAAAAAAAUAUUUUGUACAGUUGAUGAAACGUUACUAUUUUAGUGUGAAACUCUUUGUGUCAUUGUAUCUGCAACACUUGCAGAAUAAAAACUUAUGUCUACUUAUUUGCAUCAUUAGACUUCAGGAAAUUGCUUCAAUUCCUUUUCUUUCCAUAAAAAAUACUAAUGCAACACAAUUCUUUAAAUUAAAUGCAUUAUUUUAAGCUUCUAACACAACCUGCAACAAAAAUAAUUUUAUAAUUACCUCAUGUAUGCUCUGGAAAUGCCAAACGUAUGUUCAUUAGGUUCGUUUCUUUGCUUAUGCUACUUUCAAUUUAAAUGGGACUUGUGAUCUCCCCUGCAGAGACAGAUAUGUGAAAGUAAGGAGCGCACAACCACGUCAAUGUUACUACAUAAAACUGGUUACGUUUGUUCAUUUAGACUAUACAUAUUAUGAAAAGCAAAUUAUUAAUUUAAAACUAUAAUGUUACUCUUACCACUGCCUUUGAGAGCCACGAAACCCCGUGAGAAGACAGAGGGAUUGUGUACCCUAGUAACGUGAAAAUUAGCUCCUAAUAACUUUGUAUCAGGCCUACAGCCAGUGUUGAGUUUAAAAUAUAUGAUUCAAUUUAAAAGUGCAUUAGUAUUUCUUCUGUUUAUUACUUUAUAAUAUUAAGAUGUUAGUAGCUUAAUGAUCGCUGUCAAAAAACAUCAUGUGAAAAAUUUUGCUGUUAUUUACCAGAGAACAUACUUUGUAAGUGGAUUAGUGUAAGAAAAACAUAAGUUCGAACUUUUGUUUUAUACAAAAAUAAAAACAAAAACGUGGUAAAAAUUGGUCCACACAACCACCUCAGUACGUUUCUAAGUAGAUAAAACUGUUUAAAAUGCAUUGAAUUCUACCAUUAUUACCUAAGUUAUGAACAAUUUAAAUUCCAAAAUAUUUUAUUAUGCAUCCAGAAAAAAAUUAACCUGGAAGACACUUAUAUUGAGAUUCUAAAAAUUAGGUACUCAUUUAAACAUGAGGUGUUAGACUUCUAGCCCAGUCAAAAUAUAUUCUGUGCUUAAAUUCAAUCCGAUGUUUAUGAUUUUGUGUUUCAAUUGUUCAGUGGUCUGCACGGAAUGUCACAUCAACAGUCAUGAUAAAUAGGAAAUGAUAAUGUAAUUGACAUAUUUUGGGCAAAUAGAUGAAUCAGUACCACUUGUCGGCUAUAUGACUGUGUAGUAAGAAUCCACCAUUAAGAACAAAGUCAGCGUUCUCCAAGUCCAAAUUCUCCCUUGUCAACUAAAACGUACAGGGUUGCUUUCUUGGUUUUGCGUAUCCCAGCUUCGUCAAAGAGAGCUAAAUGAAAUGGAGCCAACUCGUACAGCAUAUACAUGAUCAAGUCUUCCUAUUUUUCUUCACUUCAUCGUUAUCCUCUGGAAAACUAACAAAUGAUAAAUGAGCUAUUACAAUUGAAAGUAAUAGUGUAACUAAUAUUCGCCAGAGGGAGAGCUUGAUCUUUUCGUGACAAUGCUUAAUUAGAAUUUUUCCAACAUUACUCUGUAUUGAUUGCUUGCCAAUUACUAUAGCAUUGAAAAAGGUAACUAUGGCAUCCCCUACUAGUCCAGGUGCUAUAGACAUGAUUUGUUGUGAUCCAGGAAAUGGUGGGUGAUUAUUUAACUAAGCAGAGAUGUUAUAUUAAUCUGUGGCAUCCCUACUUCUUCCAGAUUGUGAGAAAUCAAGUUGUUCAAAGAUAUAAAAUGUGUACCGCAUAACUCUUCAAUGAUGAGCAGAUGCAGUUGCAGUCAUCCCCAAGGUCCACUCGCUCAAGAACUUAUCAGUGAAUCCUCAUUUAAUUCUGGGGUCAUUAUAGACUCUAGCUUAAACAUGUCUUGUAAAGUCAAGUGACAGCAUUUGGCAUACGAGAGGCACGGUUCACAAAUAUAUAGGUCAGUUGCUAUAGGAAAAAUGUUUGAGAUAAAAUAAAAUAAAAACUCAUUUUUUAAGCGAGACUAUCUCAAACAAAAUUGGAGAUAUGAAAAAAGUUAAAAUAAUCUUUUAUAGGAUUUUUAAUGCUCUUUUAUUCUUUUUAUUAAAAACAUUUUCUUUUAAGGUUAUUCAUUUACGAGAUAUUUCUGUAAAAAUCAAAAACAAAUGCCUAUUUUUUUUGAAAAUCCUUUCUAGUUUCUGACUCUACCUCACUUCCUAUUCAUCAGGACUUUUGAUUUUAAUUCCCCUGGACACUACUAAAUACGUGUAAAGUGUAACAAAAAUAU